GCCUGCGCAGUGACCUCCCUCGGAGCUACGUGUUCCAGGCCCUAAGAGGUUAAUGUAAGCCCUGAUCACAAUGAGAGAAGGCUUGUUCUGAUCUUCCCUAAAGUGGCGCACAGAAGGGCCCACUGUAGAUAACGAGUAGAGAUCCUCUGGAGCACAGAUGGCGCCACUUUAAAUAACUAUGCUGUGACCUCACCACUGUGCCCCUCCCUCUAUAAAAGCUGGGGGUAAGGCCCUGGCAGGGUGGAGAGUAGUCGUGCGGUCUUUGGAUUGUUUGCCUGCUGGAUUCUUCUUGUCAGAUGUGGCAUGUUAGGCCAUUGGUGAAAUGCAAGCUCCUGGGAAAUCAAGCUGAUGCUGACAGGAGAUGUCCUACCAGUCCAUGCAGUAUUGACUGUGAAGAUUCGCUAUGACCAGAAGUGAUCCAGAAGAUGCUUGUGGGCCCUGCGAUAAUGACUGCAGUGGCCCGGACACUGCCUGGUCACCCUCAGCUUCAUACAACCUACUGCCUGUCCUGCAUUGCUAUGGUUUGGAGAAGCGUUCGCCGUUAGCCUUCAUUAAAAAAAA